rnacentral:rRNA from 1 species
UGCUCUACACAUGCAAGUCGAACGGUAACAGGUCUUCGGAUGCUGACGAGUGGCGAACGGGUGAGUAAUGCAUCGGAACGUGCCCAGUCGUGGGGGAUAACGCAGCGAAAGCUGUGCUAAUACCGCAUACGAUCUAUGGAUGAAAGCGGGGGACUCGCAAGGGCCUCGCGCGAUUGGAGCGGCCGAUGUCAGAUUAGGUAGUUGGUGGGGUAAAGGCUCACCAAGCCAACGAUCUGUAGCUGGUCUGAGAGGACGACCAGCCACACUGGAACUGAGACACGGUCCAGACUCCUACGGGAGGCAGCAGUGGGGAAUUUUGGACAAUGGGUGCAAGCCUGAUCCAGCAAUGCCGCGUGCAGGAAGAAGGCCUUCGGGUUGUAAACUGCUUUUGUACGGAACGAAACGGUCCUGGUUAAUACCUGGGGCUAAUGACGGUACCGUAAGAAUAAGCACCGGCUAACUACGUGCCAGCAGCCGCGGUAAUACGUAGGGUGCAAGCGUUAAUCGGAAUUACUGGGCGUAAAGCGUGCGCAGGCGGUUUUGUAAGACAGUCGUGAAAUCCCCGGGCUCAACCUGGGAAUUGCGAUUGUGACUGCAAGGCUGGAGUGCGGCAGAGGGGGAUGGAAUUCCGCGUGUAGCAGUGAAAUGCGUAGAUAUGCGGAGGAACACCGAUGGCGAAGGCAAUCCCCUGGGCCUGCACUGACGCUCAUGCACGAAAGCGUGGGGAGCAAACAGGAUUAGAUACCCUGGUAGUCCACGCCCUAAACGAUGUCAACUGGUUGUUGGGUCUCUUCUGACUCAGUAACGAAGCUAACGCGUGAAGUUGACCGCCUGGGGAGUACGGCCGCAAGG